CCAGAGAAUUUAGCAGAGAUGCUUUAGUGCCUUCGGGAACUCUGAGACAGGUGCUGCAUGGCUGUCGUCAGCUCGUGUUGUGAAAUGUUGGGUUAAGUCCCGCAACGAGCGCAACCCUUAUCCUUUGUUGCCAGCACGUAAUGGUGGGAACUCAAAGGAGACUGCCGGUGAUAAACCGGAGGAAGGUGGGGAUGACGUCAAGUCAUCAUGGCCCUUACGAGUAGGGCUACACACGUGCUACAAUGGCGCAUACAAAGAGAAGCGACCUCGCGAGAGCAAGCGGACCUCAUAAAGUGCGUCGUAGUCCGGAUUGGAGUCUGCAACUCGACUCCAUGAAGUCGGAAUCGCUAGUGAUCGUAAAUCAGAAUGUUACGGUGAAUACGUUCCCGGGCCUUGUACACACCGCCCGUCACACCAUGGGAGUGGGUUGCAAAAGAAGUAGAUAGCUUAACCUUCGGGAGGGCGUUUACCACUUUGUGAUUCAUGACUGGGGUGAAGUCGUAACAAGGUAGGCGUAGUGCU
rnacentral:rRNA from 1 species